GGUUCUAUGGUGUAGUGGUUAGCACUCUGGACUUUCAAUCCAACGACCUGGGUUCAAAUUCCGAUAGGACCU
rnacentral:tRNA from 1 species